AAGUUCAAUUAUUUAACACGACUGUCAAACUUAGGGUACGAAUGCAGAAAAAUAUAAUAAAUAGAAAAAAAUAAGAAAAAGGUAGAUAAAUAUUAAUUUUAAUUAAUAUUAUAUAAUAUGAAGACUGUUUACAUACAUUUUCCAUCCAAUCUUACUGAAGAAGAGCAUAUGCUACAAGCAAAAUAUCAAAAAUUGAAGAAAAAGAAAAAAGCUUUACAAGCUUUAAAAGCUCCUAAACCUGAACCUGAAAAACCUGUGUUACCAAAAAGACCGGCAGAUGCAAGAGAUGCUAAAGAGGUUGCUAGGAAAUUAAUAAAAAGUGGAGCUAUACCUGCAAUUCCCAAACCCAGUCAAAAACCUGCACAAUUAAUAUUUAAAAGACCGAGAGGUCAAGAGAGAAAGAGAAUACAACCAGAAAAAGUUAGUUCAUAUCAGCCAUUCCAGUCUAAUAUUGAUACAAAUAACAUAAAUGAAUUCAGUGAUAAAGCUACUCCAAGAGCCAAAAAUCUAUAUGACCACUUUGUAUCUGAGCGUGACAAGGAUGAGCGUGGUUUAAAAGACUCUGCUGCUGUUGGAAGUACUCCAACAGUUAGCAGUAAUGUGAUUACUUCAACUGUACAAAAUGCUUCUCAAAAUACUGCAAAGAGGACAGGAAAUACUGUUUAUGUAUCCGGCUAUCAAGUAACACAAGAAUUUUUGCAAAAGAAUUUUAGCGAAUUUGGGAAUAUACUUUAUAUUUCAAUGGAGAUUGAAAAACAUCGUGGUUUUGUGACAUUUGAUAAAGUGGAAUCUGCAGAACGAGCUAUUAAAGAGUUAGAUAAUGCAAAAGUGGGUGGUAUUGAUUUAAAAGUUUCACUAGCACGAAGACAACCUCAAAUUGAACCAAUAAAUGAUGCCACGUCUUCAGCAGCAUGGGCUACUUUAGCUGCCAAUCAAUCACAAAAAGGUAGUCACAAGGACACAAGAGAGAUUGUUACUUACGAAUCUAUGGAUAUAUUUGAUUAAAACAUUGUUUUUAAUGUUUUAAUUGUGAUAACUUAAUUUUUUGUGAGAAAAAUCAUUUAUUUUGCCAAGGUGACACGAUCGUCAGCCGUGCACUGCGAAAGAUUUGUCGAAAGGCGCAGGACAGACCGGCUUGCGACCAAAAUAACAUAUCUAGUCUUUCGAUGCCAAUAAUAUUAUGUAGACGGUUUAUAUUUGUUUUGAUGGAGCCUCAGACUAUUCAGAUGUAUGCGUUAAUGCCUAUGUAUUUAUAUCCACACAGGA